UCAAUAAGCGGAGGAAAAGAAACCAACAGGGAUUGCCUUAGUAACGGCGAGUGAAGCGGCAACAGCUCAAAUUUGAAAUCUGGCCUCUUUGGGGUCCGAGUUGUAAUUUGGAGAGGAUGUUUCGGGUACGGUCCGGGCUUAAAUUUCUUGGAACAGAAUGUCACAGAGGGUGAGAAUCCCGUCUGGAGUCUGCGACACGGCCUAUGUGAAACUCCUUCGACGAGUCGAGUUGUUUGGGAAUGCAGCUCUAAAUGGGUGGUAAAUUUCAUCUAAAGCUAAAUAUUGGCCAGAGACCGAUAGCGCACAAGUAGAGUGAUCGAAAGAUGAAAAGCACUUUGAAAAGAGAGUUAAACAGUACGUGAAAUUGUUGAAAGGGAAGCGCUGGCAACCAGACUUGCGCGUCGGGGUUCCCCCUGGCUUCUGCCUGGGCUACUCCCCGGCGCUCAGGCCAACAUCGGUUUUGGGGGUCGGUUAAAGGCCCCGGGAAUGUACCUACCCUUCGGGGUAGACUUAUAGCCCGGGGUGUCAUGCGGCCACCCGGGACCGAGGAACGCGCUUCGGCUCGGAUGUUGGCGUAAUGGUUGUCAGCGACCCGUCUUGAAACACGGACCAAGGAGUCUAACAUCUAUGCGAGUGUUAGGGUGUCAAACCCUUACGCGGAAUGAAAGUGAACGGAGGUAGGAAGCCGUAACACGCUGCACUAUCGACCGAUCCUGAAGUUUACGGAUGGAUUUGA
rnacentral:rRNA from 1 species